CCUACGGGUGGCAGCAGUGGGGAAUAUUGCACAAUGGGGGAAACCCUGAUGCAGCAACGCCGCGUGAGUGAUGACGGCCUUCGGGUUGUAAAGCUCUGUCUUCAGGGACGAUAAUGACGGUACCUGAGGAGUAAGCCACUGCUAACUCCGUGCCAGCAGCCGCGGUAAUACGUAGGGGGCGAGCGUUGUCCGGAUUUACUGGGCGUAAAGGGAGCGUAGGCGGACUUUUAAGUGAGAUGUGAAAUCCUCGGGCUCAACUUGAGUGCUGCAUUUCAAACUGGGAGUCUAGAGUGCAGGAGAGGAGAGUGGAAUUCCUAGUGUAGCGGUGAAAUGCGUAGAUAUUAGGAGGAACACCAGUGGCGAAGGCGGCUUACUGGACUGUAACUGACGUUGAGGCUCGAAAGCGUGGGGAGCAAACAGGAUUAGAUACCCGUGUAGUC
rnacentral:rRNA from 1 species